AACGAACGCUGGCGGCAUGCCUAACACAUGCAAGUCGAACGGGAUCCUAGCUUGCUAGGUGAGAGUGGCGGACGGGUGAGUAACACGUGGGAAUCUGCCUUUUGGUUCGGGAUAACCGCGGGAAACUGCGGCUAAUACCGAAUGCCCUCGUGAGAGGAAAGAUUUAUCGCCAGAAGAGGAGCCCGCGUCCGAUUAGGUAGUUGGUGGGGUAAAGGCCUACCAAGCCGACGAUCGGUAGCUGGUCUGAGAGGAUGAUCAGCCACACUGGGACUGAGAUACGGCCCAGACUCCUACGGGAGGCAGCAGUGGGGAAUAUUGGACAAUGGGGACAACCCUGAUCCAGCAAUGCCGCGUGUGUGAAGAAGGCCUUCGGUUGUAAGCACUUUAAGCGGGGGAGGAAGGCGUCUAUGGCUAAUAUCCAUGGGGAUUGACGUUACCCGCAGAAUAAGCACCGGCAAACUUACGUGCCAGCAGCCGCGGUAAU
rnacentral:rRNA from 1 species